UUUCCACCAUAUGCUGCUUCUCUUUACUGCCACGGUUAUUUAUAUAUCUGCUGCAAAAUUUAAAGACAACUUAGUGAUAGGAAAAGUCAGGACUAAGAGUUAGGAGGAUUAUGUUCAGCAUCAGCUCUGCCAUCAUACGCUGUUUGGGAUCUCAGAUGCCUAUACAACAGCUUAGCCACUUGCCAAGGAGUCACCUGCCUUGAUCCUGCUUCUGAAGCUGUCAGAGGGAGUCAUCAGAAGCACGUCCUAAGUAUAUUACCGGCUACUCUCCAAGAAGCUACUGUAAGAGAAAACCUGCAAAGUGCAGCAGUCCCAGAAAAGAAGAUGAAGACUAAAGAAGAAGGAGGAUAUUUAGAAAUGAUUAAUGUUGUACAAAGCCCCAGAUAAGAUGACACAUUUCCGUAGUUUGCAAACUUACCCAUGAAUGUAGGAGAUCCAUAUCUGAGCAGGAAGACUUGAGACGUGUGUGGCGAAUACAAGAGGAGCAGUGGUCCCAGGGUCCAACUUGUGCUAUUUGGAAAUCAACACAUGUCCAGAGAGGGUUUUCAGGAAAAGGCUUCCAGUGAUGCCACAUGUAAGCUUCACCUUCAUACCAAGCUAAUUUAUCUUCCAAGUUGCAGUCAUUUAAAGUGCUGGAUCUACCCAGUGAUGCAGAAAGAGUAUCCAAUCUAAUCUCCAUUUCUUCCUUCCUCCUUGUGCUAACACUACUCACUUUCUUUUCUCGGUACUUGGUUAAUUUCAAACAAGAAAUCAAUGUGUCAUCUUCGUCUUCUGAAUGACAAAGAAACAGGUUAAAAACUAUGUUUAUAAUUCUUCACAUAUAGAAAUUAUUCUUCCUUUUAUAUAAGAGAAAUAAAUGAACCGCAAUGGAUAAACCAAGAA